ACGUGGACAAAAUGCAGUAGCAACCGAUGAUCGUCCUUUCCAUGUUAGCAGUCUCCCCAAAAGGUCUACAUCGUUGAUUGGCUGCACUUCACUAUGUACUGACGUGACAGUGCGUAAUGUCAACCCUACCAUUCAAAGUCAACGUAGUGUGACAUCUGACGGUGACGCAACAAUAGCUCUUGCGGUAGAAGUCAAAUUUAGAGAUGCAAGAAGUACGACAGUGCAAGGCGAAUCUCUCUGGGAGUUGUCUGCUUGGAUUGCUCUUAAGAAAAAGAAUAAAAGUCACACCAGGAUAGGUUUCACCGAGCAAGUUCUCAAUGUUGAUCAAGCAUCGCAGUGGUACAUCAAAGGAGAUCAAUUCAUCUUUCGGGACGUC